AGCGAACGCUGGCGGCAGGCCUAACACAUGCAAGUCGAGCGAGGACUUCGGUCCUAGCGGCGGACGGGUGAGUAACGCGUGGGAACGUGCCCUUUGCUACGGAAUAGCCCUGGGAAACUGGGAGUAAUACCGUAUGUGCCCUUUGGGGGAAAGAUUUAUCGGCAAAGGAUCGGCCCGCGCUGGAUUAGGUAGUUGGUGGGGUAAUGGCCUACCAAGCCGACGAUCCAUAGCUGGUUUGAGAGGAUGAUCAGCCACACUGGGACUGAGACACGGCCCAGACUCCUACGGGAGGCAGCAGUGGGGAAUCUUAGACAAUGGGGGAAACCCUGAUCUAGCCAUGCCGCGUGAGCGAUGAAGGCCUUAGGGUUGUAAAGCUCUUUCAGUGGGGAAGAUAAUGACGGUACCCACAGAAGAAGCCCCGGCUAACUCCGUGCCAGCCGCCGCAGUAAUAC
rnacentral:rRNA from 1 species